GCGCAGAUAGUCCCGUAGGGCGCGGGGGAGGUCUGUAAAACCUUUGGCUACUGCCCCGGUGAGUUCGACUCUCACUCUGCGCACCA
rnacentral:tRNA from 1 species